rnacentral:rRNA from 1 species
CCUACGGGUGGCAGCAGUGGGGAAUAUUGGACAAUGGGCGAAAGCCUGAUCCAGCCAUGCCGCGUGUGUGAAGAAGGCCUUCGGGUUGUAAAGCACUUUCAGUGGGGAAGAAAGCCUUGGGGCUAAUACCCUCGAGGAAGGACAUCACCCACAGAAGAAGCACCGGCUAACUCCGUGCCAGCAGCCGCGGUAAUACGGAGGGUGCGAGCGUUAAUCGGAAUUACUGGGCGUAAAGCGCGCGUAGGCGGUCUGAUAAGCCGGUUGUGAAAGCCCCGGGCUCAACCUGGGAACGGCAUCCGGAACUGUCAGGCUAGAGUGCAGGAGAGGAAGGUAGAAUUCCCGGUGUAGCGGUGAAAUGCGUAGAGAUCGGGAGGAAUACCAGUGGCGAAGGCGGCCUUCUGGACUGACACUGACGCUGAGGUGCGAAAGCGUGUGUAGCAAACAGGAUUAGAUACCCUUGUAGUC